rnacentral:piRNA from 1 species
AAAGAAUAUUGAAGCUCCGUUAG